GGGCCCGGGUGGGUAACCCAGCCGGGCCAGAUCAGCCCCGUUCCGCAGCGUUUCCCGCAGUCGGACGGUGGGUGCUGCGCUGGCGACAGCGAGGCUUCCAGGUUAGAAAACUCCAGCCAAGUGUGGAGAAAAUGAGAAGCACCGGAGCAGACCGGAGGGAAGAAACGGGGUCCCCCGCGGGGCCCAGCGGUUGCAAGGACCCCGGAGCUGGCUUGGCUUGGGGUUGCAGGUGCGGUGUGCACCGGCUCUGAGCUCCCCACGUGGAUGCUGCGUGGCUGGGGACCCGCGGAGGAUGCCCACCGUCCCAGAGUUCAAACCCUGUCCCUGUCAACUCUGUGCGUUACCACGUGCACGUCGUCGGACUUUUCUCCAUUCCUAAAUCACCGCAGGAAGUAGAAUAAAAUAAGUCUGGUUUGCUGAGCAGGGACCCCCCCCCCACACACACACCCUUUACCAGGUGAUUUGAAAAAAAAAAAACAUGUUUACACACCCACUAAUGUCUUCCAGCCAGGCACUUUGCGUGCAGUAGCUAAUGCAAGACUCGCAACACCCCACCAGGUACUGUGACCGUCCCCUUCUGGCCGCGACUGCAACCUCCUGUGUCCCUUGCCAAUCUGAAGACCUAGGAAUCCAGCCUUCGAAGAGGUGGAGGGGAGAAGGGGCGCCUGGCACCCGGGAGAGUACGACCUCACUGGGACAAUAACAAACAUCAUCUCAGAAGUUGGGGCUUCUGGCCGGGCGUGGUGGCGCACGCCUUUAAAUCCCAGCACUCGGGAGGCAGAGGUCUGGCUGAACCAACCUGUUUCCCUCUGGGCACCUACCCUCCUCAUUCGGUAUCCACAGUCCCUCAUUUAGCCUGGAACAGUUUCAUACUAGUAUGUGACGUGAAGUUCUUUUGACCACCCUCAGAAAUUGUCUUCAAAUCCCCCAGGCCUCAGUGGAAAAGGCCUUCCCUGACCCUGCUCCAUGCCCAGGUCACUUCCCAGGGUGUGCAAUGCCCUGUAGUAGGUAAUCAUUUAAUGUGUGUCUCCCCUUGGAGAUGCACAAGGGCAGCAAGUCAGUCGGCCUGGCUUCCUGCUGUAUCUCUAACUCAGUGUGCAGAACGGGGAGGGUGUCAUGUAAAAAGGUUCAGUGGAUGGAUGAGGGAGGAGCUAUUGGUCGGCAGCGUCUCUGGAAAGAGGAGAGGGGGAAGCGGCCCCGUGGAGCCUAGAUAUUCCCCCCACUCCAGAGAUGAACUCUAAGUUACCUUCAAUUCUCAGCUUGUGACUUAAAAGGGAAUGUGAAAAUAUCGUGUAAGGUAUAUUCUGCUUUAAAAAAAAAAAUAAAAGAAACAACUUUUUUUUUUU